UACGUAGGGGUGCGAGCGUUUGUCCGGAAUUACUGGGCGUAAAGAGCUCGUAGGUGGUUUGUCGCGUUGUUCGUGAAAUCUCACGGCUUAACUGUGAGCGUGCGGGCGAUACGGGGCAGACUAGAGUACUGCAGGGGAGACUGGAAUUCCUGGUGUAGCGGUGGAAUGCGCAGAUAUCAGGAGGAACACCGGUGGCGAAGGCGGGUCUCUGGGCAGUAACUGACGCUGAGGAGCGAAAGCGUGGGGGAGCGAAACAGG
rnacentral:rRNA from 1 species